GUGCAAGGAUGUCCGGGUUCUCACCCUUCACACGGGUGGGGUCGCAGGUUCAAUCCCUGCAUCGCCCACCA
rnacentral:tRNA from 1 species